UUCCGGUUGAUCCCGCCGGAGAUUACUGCUAUCGAGGUUCGACUAAGCCAUGCGAGUCGAAUGUAGCAAUACAUGGCGUACUGCUCAGUAACACGUGGAUAACCUACCCUUGAGAUGGGGAUAAACCCGGGAAACUGGGUAUAAUACCCAAUAGAUCUCGACUGCUGGAAUGCAUCGAGAUCCAAAGCUCCGGCGCUCAAGGAUGGAUCUGCGGCCUAUCAGGUAGUAGUGGGUGUAGCGUACCUACUAGCCUACGACGGGUACGGGUUGUGAGAGCAAGAGCCCGGAGAUGGAUUCUGAGACACGAAUCCAGGCCCUACGGGGUGCAGCAGGCGCGAAAACUUUACAAUGCUGGAAACAGCGAUAAGGGGACCUCGAGUGCCAGGUUACAAAUCUGGCUGUCGUGAUGCCUAAAAAGCAUUGCAUAGCAAGGGCCGGGCAAGACCGGUGCCAGCCGCCGCGGUAACACCGGCGGCUCGAGUGGUAACCGUUAUUAUUGGGUCUAAAGGGUCUGUAGCCGGCCGGAUAAGUCUCUUGGGAAAUCUGGCAGCUUAACUGUCAGGCUUUCAGGAGAUACUGUCUGGCUCGAGGCCGGGAGAGGUGAGAGGUACUUCAGGGGUAGGGGUGAAAUCUUGUAAUCCUUGAAGGACCACCAGUGGCGAAGGCGUCUCACCAGAACGGACCUGACGGCAAGGGACGAAAGCUAGGGGCACGAACCGGAUUAGAUACCCGGGUAGUCCUAGCCGUAAACGAUACUCGCUAGGUGUCGGCAACGGUGCGACCGUUGUCGGUGCCGUAGGGAAGCCGUGAAGCGAGCCACCUGGGAAGUACGGCCGCAAGGCUGAAACUUAAAGGAAUUGGCGGGGGAGCACACAACGGGUGGAGCUUGCGGUUUAAUUGGAUUCAACGC
rnacentral:rRNA from 1 species